rnacentral:lncRNA from 1 species
UUCCACCUCGGACACCAAAUAGCUGUUGUCUGAAUUUCUCACCGAACAAUUGGCACGAAUCUCUCCUUGGUUGCCUGACAAUACGCUAAGCUGUGACAUCUUGAUCAUUGCAACCACGAACUUCUCGAAGAACAAAGCUUCAUCUUCAGCAAAGCUUUUGACGAUGCCCCUUGUCUUCUUGUACGAGUACAGGUCUUGGUCUGAGGUAAACAGGCCUUGGCGGUUCACGAGAUCAACAUAGUACUUAUUGUCAAAUUUAUUAGGGGACCUGAUAUCUAGCACAGUGGUGUUGGUAGAGGUAUUUGUGGGGCA